ACUGCAUAAAAAGGAGGAGCUCUCCCACCCUCGUCGGAGUGAACCGCUUGCCGUCUGACAGCAAACCUUUUGGGAAACAGCCAGCCUUGUCACCGUGCUUGAAGGCUUUUCAGGGCAUAGAGAGGACACGGUGCGGCUUGGCAGGCGCGUUCCGACUCCGGUCUGGUGUAGGGGUUGCACUCAGUCUCUCUGGCUGUUUUGUGUGUUCCCGUCUGACAGCUCACACUUCUCCGCCGUGUGCCUUGGCCGCAGGACACAGAGCACUAAGAAGAAAGACUGUGUGUUACCCAAGGCCCCGAGGGUGGAAUCCACUCGGCCAGGUAACAACUAUCCUGACGGAAAGAGUCGUCCCUCCCCGUCCCCAAGCUCCCCUCUGAAAAACCAAACCUGUGCAGACAAACACAACCAACACGCCGGUGUCAGCCACGUGGCCCAAGGAUAAACUCUCAUUUUCCCAGUCCGUUGGGAAGGAGGUGAAAAAGCCACAUUAGAAACCGAAAGGUAAGCUGGCAGACGUGUGUGGUCUCUCAGACAUCAAGGAGCCAGCAAACAACCCCAGUGUGUCUGCCAGGAUGAGAAGGGCUGAGGACCUAGAGAGAGGGAGAUUCCUGCGUUGCCAAGGCAGCCGUGAACCUGAACAUGUGUGCAAAGACAGAGGAGAGCGCGGAAUUGGACCCUGGGAAGAAAGACACUUAUGCUGCAAAUACACAGUCACAUAAACGGAAACAUUCUGUUUAUGUGUAAUGUGUGAUGGAGGAUACUGAUCAACUAGCCCAUAUUUCCAACCACGGGACUGGCUGCCAGCAGGACCACCAUGGCACUUAUUACCAUGAAAAGGAGCCGAGAAAGCAGGAGAUUGGCAGGGAACACCAUGGAAGAAAGCAGAUGCGCGAGUCACGGUCAUCCCAGCCGGAUGGGGCACGAGGCCAUCCUUCCAUCUCCGUUGCCCCCAACACCGGCAGUCUUUGCAGUACUCCAAAGGUCUAAGACCGUGGGAGAAAAGGAACUAAGGAUCACAUGUCAACCCUUGGGGCACACUCGAAGGCUGCUCUCAAUACUACAGCCAAGUUAUAGGUGAUGAUUAUUUGUAAUCUGACAUCAGCAGAAUAAUCUUGCAGGAAAGAGGUGGAGAUGACAGAAGGACGCAUGCCCUGUGCUUACCCCGGGAUUAUUCAUGAAGGCAGUCUGGAACAUAGGGGAUAGGAGGACCAGGAGAGGCAUCAUCUGACCCUGUUCUCUGACCCACCAUGCUCAGAGUUGAGCCUGCUCUUUGGAAGGUAUAUUCGUAUGGGUGAUGUGGAGGUUGGAGACACUGCAUUUGCUUUCUGCUAGAGCACGGAAGAUUUGCAAAGUGGCAAAGGGAAGAGGAGAGGUAGAGCUUCAGAAACUUUCUUCCUCAGAGGUUCAUGCGCUGAAAAGCCAACUUAAUGCCACACAUCUGGAGAAGCUGAUCACCUACGUAUGGCUUCCUCUUAAGGAUUUA